AUUGAACGCUGGCGGCAGGCCUAACACAUGCAAGUCGAGCGGAUGAAGGGAGCUUGCUCCUGGAUUCAGCGGCGGACGGGUGAGUAAUGCCUAGGAAUCUGCCUGGUAGUGGGGGAUAACGUCCGGAAACGGGCGCUAAUACCGCAUACGUCCUGAGGGAGAAAGUGGGGGAUCUUCGGACCUCACGCUAUCAGAUGAGCCUAGGUCGGAUUAGCUAGUUGGUGGGGUAAAGGCCUACCAAGGCGACGAUCCGUAACUGGUCUGAGAGGAUGAUCAGUCACCCUGGAACUGAGAAACGGUCCAGACUCCUACGGGAGGCAGCAGGGGGGAAUAUUGGACAAUGGGGGAAAGCCUGAUCCAGCCAUGCCGCGUGUGUGCAGAAGGUCUUCGGAUUGUAAAGCACUUUAAGUUGGGAGGAAGGGCAGUAAGUUAAUACCUUGCUGUUUUGACGUUACCAACAGAAUAAGCACCGGCUAACUUCGUG
rnacentral:rRNA from 1 species